UGGGUGCUCGCGGCAUGGCAGGAAGUCCCCUCCAAUGGAGAGGGCGAGCUAUUGCAAUCACCCCUUGGAGGGAAGCACAGUGCGCGGCGGGCCCCAGGCCGCCAUGCGGGCCACGCCAGAAUACGGCACACCGGGUGAUUUACAAUGAGCCGAAAUGUAUUUCUCGCAAUCCUAGAAACUGGGAAAUCCGUAAUGAAGGGGGCAGCCUCUGGGGUGUCCUUGCUGUGCCAUCUCAUGGGAGACGGCGGAAAGGCAAGAGAGAACCAACUUCACCCCUCGGCGAGGAACUCACCCCUGAGAUAGUGGAGUUAGUUCCACCACAGCUCUGAUCCCAAAGCCGAAACACCUGCCAGGAAGCCCCGACUCCCAACACCGUGGUGCUGGGGGUUAAGUUCCCACCACGUGCGUUUCGCAGGGACACAUUUCCCAGCUGGGAAAGCUGCCCCAGCCCAUUUGCUGAGGGCCGUGGAAGGCUGCUACCUUGCAGGUUGGUCUGUGCCAGGCCUUGGUGCCUGUGUAAGCUGUGAGCCCCACGAGGGGUGCAUGUCCCUGGGAGGAAAGCAGCAAGGCAGGGCUUAUAGGUAGCUCUAAGAGGAGAAUUACUGUACAGAAGCCUCGCGUUGUGGCACAAGGCCAUGCGAUUAGUAGCAGAGACUCCCCCACUAGAGACAAACAGCCGUUAGCGUGCGGCUAGGCCUGGUAGAGGUGGUCCCACUAAGUGACGCUGAAGUCAAUGCUGUGCAGCCUGGGCUGCGUUCACGCAGAGCCACCACGCUGUAACACUGACGAUGACAGCCGUGAUGGGGACACUGCAUCGCCUUCCGAGGGCCUGGGAUUCCAUGCAGCACUGCUUUCGGUGAAGAGAACCACUGUUGAGCAAAGGAGCCAGGGCAGUGGGCAUCAGCCCACACGCUCCUUUGGGCCUGUCCCACGCUGCCACCCUGACGUAGUCGGGAGACAGUCUUUGGAAGUGCAGCUGAGACACCACUUUGGGGAUGACGCUUGUGAGCCGAGGACGUCACUGUCCAGAAGGCAGCAGUACACAGUCUGCUCAGUAAUUUGAGAAGCACAGACAUCUGUGCAGGAAGUCCUGGGGACAGAGAGAGAGGCCUGAGAGGCGGUGGUAGCCGGGGGUCAGAGCCUUCAGGGACCAGGUUCUGGGCAGCACGCGUGUGGAGCCACAGAGGUGAGCACAGGUGUUGGGAGCUGAAUCCAGCCGGGGUGGAGGGGAAGCAGUAGGAGUGCCUCCUGCAUGCCUGGGGGCUGCGCUGGGUUUAUGGGACAACCAGAACCCUGGGGCCAGAGUGAGUCUGCUCCCAGCAUGUGUAUGCAAGUCUUGGUGGAUCUGAAGGUGCGAGGGGGUGGGCUGCAGUGACACCCGCCAAGAUCACCCUGCAGGGGCAGCGGCUCACUCCCCACGGCUGCCAGCA
rnacentral:lncRNA from 1 species